rnacentral:rRNA from 1 species
GAUGAACGUUGGCGGUGUGCCUAAUACAUGCAAGUCGAACGGAGACUGUAGCAAUACUGUCUUAGUGGCGAACGGGUGAGUAACGCGUUGGUGACCUGCCCCGAAGAGGGGGAUAACAGUCCGAAAGGAUUGCUAAUACCCCAUGUGGUCGUUUGGAUUAGAUGCCUUACGACUAAACGGAUUUAUUCGCUUCGGGAGGGGCCUGCGUCCCAUCAGCUAGUUGGUAGGGUAAUAGCCUACCAAGGCGAUGACGGGUAGGGGACCUGAGAGGGUGGCCCCCCACAAUGGAACUGAAACACGGUCCAUACACCUACGGGUGGCAGCAGUAGGGAAUAUUGGUAAUCUGGGAAACCGGGAACCAGCAACGCCGCGUGCGCGAUGAAGGCCUUCGGGUUGUAAAGCGCUUUUUAAAGGGAUGAGGAAGGACAGUACCUUUAGAAUAAGCCUCGGCUAACUACGUG